rnacentral:rRNA from 1 species
UGAAUACGAGAUGCUAAGGCGUCGAAGUAGUGUAUGUCAUACUUCCAAGAAAAGCUUGCACUGUCAUAAAUAAUAAAUGCCUGUACCAUAACCGACACAGGUGGGUAAGUAGAGUAUACUAAGGGGCGCGAGAUAACUCUCUCUAAGGAACUCGGCAAAGUGACUCCGUAACUUCGGGAGAAGGAGUGCCUUAUUCUUAAGGUUGCAAUAACAAGAUCCAAGCAACUGUUUAUCAAAAACACAGGUCUCCGCUAAGUCGUAAGACGAUGUAUGGGGGCUGACGCCUGCCCAGUGCCAGAAGGUUAAAGAAGUCGGUUAGCAAUCGCGAAGCUGGUAACUGAAGCCCUGGUGAACGGCGGCCGUAACAAUAACGGUCCUAAGGUAGCGAAAUUCCUUGUCGGGUAAGUUCCGACCCGCACGAAAGGCGUAAUGAUUUGGAUGCUGUCUCGGAGAGAGGCUCGGUGAAAUAGACUUGUCUGUGAAGAUGCGGACUACCUGCACCAGGACAGAAAGACCCUAUGAAGCUUUACUGUAACUUGAAAUUGAAAUUGGACUUUAUUCGCGCAGUAUAGGUGGGAGGCGUUGAUUAUAAUCUUGCGGGAUUAUUGGAGCCAUCAGUGAGAUACCACUCUUGUAAUGUUAGAUUUCUAACUUUGAAUCAUUAUCUGGUCAAAGGACAAUUUCAGGCGGGCAGUUUGACUGGGGCGGUCGCCUCCUAAAUGGUAACGGAGGCGUACAAAGGUUUCCUCUGAACGGUUAGAAAUCGUAUCUAGAGUGUAAAGGCAUAAGGAAGCUUGACUGUGAGACCUACAAGUCGAGCAGGGACGAAAGUCGGUCUUAGUGAUCUGACGGUACUGAGUGGAAAGGCCGUCACUCAACGGAUAAAAGUUACUCUAAGGAUAACAGGCUGAUCUCCCCCAAGAGUUCACAUCGACGGGGAGGUUUAGCACCUCGAUGUCGGCUCAUCGCAUCCUGGGGCGGUAGUACGUCCCAAGGGUUGGGCUGUUCGCCCAUGAAAGCGGUACGCGAGCUGGGUUCAGAACGUCGUGAGACAGUUCGGUCCAUAUCCGGUGUAGGCGUUAGAAUAUUGAGAGGAGCCUUCUUUAGUACGAGAGGACCGAGAAGGACAUACCUCCGGUGUACCAGUUAUCGUGCCAACGGUAAACGCUGGGUAGCUAUGUAUGGAGUGGAUAACCGCUGAAAGCAUCUAAGUGGGAAGCCCACCUCAAGAUAAG